UAUUGGACAAUGGGCGCAAGCCUGAUCCAGCCAUGCCGCGUGAGUGAUGAAGGCCCUAGGGUUGUAAAGCUCUUUCACCGGAGAAGAUAACGACGGUAUCCGGAGAAGAAGCCCCGGCUAACUUCGUGCCAGCAGCCGCGGUAAUACGAAGGGGGCUAGCGUUGUUCGGAUUUACUGGGCGUAAAGCGCACGUAGGCGGAUCGAUCAGUCAGGGGUGAAAUCCCAGAGCUCAACUCUGGAACUGCCUUUGAUACUGUCGAUCUGGAGUAUGGAAGAGGUGAGUGGAAUUCCGAGUGUAGAGGUGAAAUUCGUAGAUAUUCGGAGGAACACCAGUGGCGAAGGCGGCUCACUCGUCCAUUACUGACGCUGAGGUGCGAAA
rnacentral:rRNA from 1 species